rnacentral:rRNA from 1 species
AACGUAGGACGCAAGCGUUAUCCGGAGUUACUGGCGUAAAGCGCGGGCAGGCGGUUCGUUAAGUCUGAUGUGAAAUCACUAGGCUCAACCUAGCGAGGCCAUUGGAAACUAGCGAACUGGAGGGCGAUAGAGGUAGGCGGAAUUCCGGGUGGAGUGGUGAAAUGCGUAGAGAUCCGGAGGAACACCAGAGGCGAAGGCGGCCUACUGGGUCGCACCUGACGCUGAGCCGCGAAAGCCAGGGGAGCGGAACGGGAUUAGAUGAC